GAUGAACGCUAGCGGGAGGCCUAACACAUGCAAGCCGAGCGGUAUUGUUUCUUCGGAAAUGAGAGAGCGGCGUACGGGUGCGGAACACGUGUGCAACCUGCCUUUAUCUGGGGGAUAGCCUUUCGAAAGGAAGAUUAAUACUCCAUAAUAUAUUGAACGGCAUCGUUUGAUAUUGAAAGCUCCGGCGGAUAGAAAUGGGCACGCGCAAGAUUAGCUAGUUGGUGAGGUAACGGCGCACCAAGGCAAUGAUCUUUAGGGGGCCUGAGAGGGUGAUCCCCCACACUGGUACUGAGACACGGACCAGGCUCCUACGGGAGGCAGCAGUGAGGAAUAUUGGUCAAUGGGUGCAAGCCUGAACCAGCCAUCCCGCGUGAAGGACGACUGCCCUAUGGGUUGUAAACUUCUUUUGUAUAGGGAUAAACCUACCCUCGUGAGGGUAGCUGAAGGUACUAUACGAAUAAGCACCGGCUAACUCCGUGCCAGCAGCCGCGGUAACAC
rnacentral:rRNA from 1 species